UACGAAGGGGGCUAGCGUUGUUCGGAAUUACUGGGGGUAAAGGGUUCGUAGGCGGUGUGGCAAGUCGGGAGUGAAAUCUCUGGGCUCAACUCAGAGACUGCUUCCGAAACUGCUGUGCUGGAGUGUGGGAGAGGCGCGUGGAAUUCCUGGUGUAGCGGUGAAAUGCGUAGAUAUCAGGAGGAACACCGGUGGUGUAAACGGCUUUCUGGACCAUAACUGACGCUGAGGCACGAAAGCGUGGGUAGCAAACAGG
rnacentral:rRNA from 1 species